AGCGAACGCUGGCGGCAGGCUUAACACAUGCAAGUCGAGCGGGCGUAGCAAUACGUCAGCGGCAGACGGGUGAGUAACGCGUGGGAACGUACCUUUUGGUUCGGAACAACACAGGGAAACUUGUGCUAAUACCGGAUAAGCCCUUACGGGGAAAGAUUUAUCGCCGAAAGAUCGGCCCGCGUCUGAUUAGCUAGUUGGUGAGGUAACGGCUCACCAAGGCGACGAUCAGUAGCUGGUCUGAGAGGGUGAUCAGCCACAUUGGGACUGAGACACGGCCCAAACUCCUACGGGAGGCAGCAGUGGGGAAUAUUGGACAAUGGGGGCAACCCUGAUCCAGCCAUGCCGCGUGAGUGAUGAAGGCCCUAGGGUUGUAAAGCUCUUUUGUGCGGGAAGAUAAUGACGGUACCGCAAGAAUAAGCCCCGGCUAACUUCGUG
rnacentral:rRNA from 1 species